rnacentral:lncRNA from 1 species
UGCGAAGUUUACGAAUAGGGUUUAUUAGACAAUGAACUAGACACAUUCAUGCCUAUGACGGUUUAGGCGAGUUUAUUUCGAACUUGUGCCUAGUAAAAAGCGAGUUUGCUUUAAACUCGUGCUUAGCGAAAGACGAGUUUACUUGACUCAUGCUAAGACAGAGGCGAGUUUACUGAGAACUCGUGCCUAGUAGAAGGAGAGCUUCUGUAAACUCAUGCCUAGCCAAAGUUGAGUUUUUGUAAACUCGUGUCUAACAAUAAGCGAGUCGACCGCAAACUCGUGCCUAAUAAAAAGCAAGUUCAAUUUAAACUCGUGCCUAAAAUACAAGUUUACCGAACUAUUGCCGACCCGAAGUCUCGUGUUGAGAUCGUGUGUGCCGAGCAAGUUGUUGGCUUGUAUGUUCGUCAGGCUGCGAUGACGUUCAUUUGUGAGGUCGGGCUCGGGCUCAUCGGUGUUGAUGGAGCAUAAAGAAGCACAAUGUUUGAUGAGUGCAUCAUUCACAAGAACGAGACGCCGUCGACCCUGUGAAACAAAUGACGAGGUGAUGAGGGGAUGAGGUGGUUGGCUCAUCAUCUCCGCUCUCGCCGGAAUCAAACUGAAUGUAUCAAGACUGAAUCAUGGUCGCCGAGAUCGAGUCACCAAAGAGAUAAUCUUCACAAAUAAAAUUUAAACCCCAUUAAUAAUUAGACCUUGCAACUAAAAAAAAAAAAUGUAAGAGUUGAUAUGCUUUAUGACUUGAUACUCGGGCUAGCAUAUUAAUUUUUCCUUGCUGCUAGCAUAUUAAUUUUUCCUAGCAAGGGACAAGGGUUUACGUAUGACUACCAUAAUCCAUUAACUUUCCCAAUAAUUUUAAUAAAGCAAUUAGCUGCCAAACUAUCAAUAGACGUGCAUUUUGACGUUUUAAAGAAGGUGGUCUAAUGAUAAUAAUUAGUUAAUAUUGGGAAAACUUAUCUCAAUGUAUCGCUCUUGUCUGAGCUGAGAUGGUGGUGAGCUCUGCCUCAAUGGAUCGUUCUUGUCUGAGCUGAGAUGGUGGUAAGCUCUGUGUUCCACAGAACAAGUCGGCAAAGAGAAGCAAGAGCUUUUAAUGGAGGUGUGAUGACUGAUGUCAUUUCGUCAGAUUCUUUGCUGUUCGAGAAGCCAAGCUUAACGACGGGUUGGAAUGCGUUUUGCGCGGUGAACAAUCUUGUGAAGCCGAGUGGAAACAUAACAUGGCAGUAUUAAGCUGGAGCACGCCUUGUAAGGUGUUGCAGUCUUCACUCUCGCAAAGCGAGUCAUGGCGAGAAGAAGCUGUUGACUUUGGAGCUCAAUUUAGUAAGAAUAAAGCUUUGAAAAACAGAGCUCAAGUCGUCAAUAAGCUGUCCUUGAUGGGGCUUGAAGGAUCAAGUCUUUGCCGUGUCUCGUGUCUGAACAACAGCUUGGAGACCAAAGGUAUGAGCGAAGCAGUUGCUCAUCUGACCAGACAAGAACUCGAUCCAACAACGCAGUGAAGAACAUGUGUUUCUCAAGGCAGAUCAAGUGGUUGCUCAUCCGAUCAGAAGUUGAUGAGGAGGAAGAUGAUUCAGUGGAAGCCGAGCCAGAUAAGUUUCUGUUUGCUAUUUGCUUGUCUGGAGCUGGAGCUGCGUAUGAAUUACGUCGCUGCGAACAGAGAGGUAGUGAAAGCUGAGGAGAUCGCGGGAGCCGUAAGAUCUCUGACGGACGGUGAGGAUACGCCGGGGAAGAGAAUGAAGGAGAUGGCGGAAGCUGCGAGGAUGGCUCGUCUUCACGGCGGCGACGUUUGAGAUCGUGUGUCUGAUGUCGUUCUCUGGGAUUACGAACAUGAACUGCCAUUGUUGCUUCAUGUUAUUAUCAGCCCACCAAGUGCUCGAUGAAAGUCCCACCCGAAGAAAGCAAAGCUUUCAUGAGAAAGCUUCAUCCUUUAGCUUCACCUAGUGCUCGAUGAACUGCUUCUGCCGGGAUCGGAUCUUCUGAGGAUGAUAUGCCCAAACUGUCGAGAUCAACCCAAGAACGCCGAUAUCAAGUUCUGUCGAGGACUGUCGCGUUAUCAAAGCCGAGAACGUGAGUCUCGAACAGCUUCUCCUAUCUUGUGAUGAACAAACCGGAACGUGAGUCUCGAACAGCUUCUCCUAUCUUGUGAUGAACAAACCGGAACUGACGAGUAUCCACGGUAAGAAACUAGACCCAUAUUACUAGGAAGCCCUAGGCUUCAUCUUUCUAUAAAUAAGGAGUUACUUCCUUAUGAGAAAGGAUCUCUCUCCUCCCAUUUUGACAUAUUAAACACUUCAUACAAAGAGUUUAUUGAUUCUUAGAUUUAUUUACACUUGUAAUCAUACAUGUAAUAUAAUCUUUAAUCAAUAAAUUCUUUUUGAUAAUAACAUGAAGCAACAAUGGCAGUUCAUGUUCGUAAUCCCAGAGAACGACAUCAGACACACGAUCUCAAACGUCGCCGCCGUGAAGACGAGCCAUCCUCGCAGCUUCCGCCAUCUCCUUCAUUCUCUUCCCCGGCGUAUCCUCACCGUCCGUCAGAGAUCUUACGGCUCCCGCGAUCUCCUCAGCUUUCACUACCUCUCCGUUCGCAGCGACGUAAUUCAUACGCAGCUCCAGCUCCAGACAAGCAAAUAGCAAACAGAAACUUAUCUGGCUCGGCUUCCACUGAAUCAUCUUCCUCCUCAUCAACUUCUGAUCGGAUGAGCAACCACUUGAUCUGCCUUGAGAAACACAUGUUCUUCACUGCGUUGUUGGAUCGAGUUCUUGUCUGGUCAGAUGAGCAACUGCUUCGCUCAUACCUUUGGUCUCCAAGCUGUUGUUCAGACACGAGACACGGCAAAGACUUGAUCCUUCAAGCCCCAUCAAGGACAGCUUAUUGACGACUUGAGCUCUGUUUUUCAAAGCUUUAUUCUUACUAAAUUGAGCUCCAAAGUCAACAGCUUCUUCUCGCCAUGACUCGCUUUGCGAGAGUGAAGACUGCAACACCUUACAAGGCGUGCUCCAGCUUAAUACUGCCAUGUUAUGUUUCCACUCGGCUUCACAAGAUUGUUCACCGCGCAAAACGCAUUCCAACCCGUCGUUAAGCUUGGCUUCUCGAACAGCAAAGAAUCUGACGAAAUGACAUCAGUCAUCACACCUCCAUUAAAAGCUCUUGCUUCUCUUUGCCGACUUGUUCUGUGGAACACAGAGCUUACCACCAUCUCAGCUCAGACAAGAACGAUCCAUUGAGGCAGAGCUCACCACCAUCUCAGCUCAGACAAGAGCGAUACAUUGAGAUAAGUUUUCCCAAUAUUAACUAAUUAUUAUCAUUAGACCACCUUCUUUAAAACGUCAAAAUGCACGUCUAUUGAUAGUUUGGCAGCUAAUUGCUUUAUUAAAAUUAUUGGGAAAGUUAAUGGAUUAUGGUAGUCAUACGUAAACCCUUGUCCCUUGCUAGGAAAAAUUAAUAUGCUAGCAGCAAGGAAAAAUUAAUAUGCUAGCCCGAGUAUCAAGUCAUAAAGCAUAUCAAUUUUUUUUUAUCCUAGAUCUAGGGUUUUCCCAAGUUUGAUAUGCUAUCAAGAUUGUUCUCUUUGGCCCCCUCCUUCUAGCGCCAACUGUUUGAACCGAAAAUGGUGUGUUUGUCGGAUUCAUACAAUGAAGAAUUUAAGAAAUAGAUUUCUUAGAUUCUUGAGGCUAAAGAGAAAUCAACAUAGAAAUCAAAUGGAAAAAGAACAUCAAAAAGAAUUUAUUGAUUAAAGAUUAUAUUACAUGUAUGAUUACAAGUGUAAAUAAAUCUAAGAAUCAAUAAACUCUUUGUAUGAAGUGUUUAAUAUGUCAAAAUGGGAGGAGAGAGAUCUUUUCUCAUAAGGAAGUAACUCCUUAUUUAUAGAAAGAUGAAGCCUAGGGCUUCCUAGUAAUAUGGGUCUAGUUCAAUGUCUAAUGGGCCUUGAGGAGGAUGUAAAUCCAUCCCCAACAGUAAGUCCCCCCAAGUUCGUUGAGAGAGAUGGAAUCGAUCUCUGCGAAGUUUACGAAUAGGGUUUAUUAGACAAUGAACUAGACAUACUCAUGCCUAUGACGGUUUAGGCGAGUUUAUUUCGAACUUGUGCCUAGUAAAAAGCGAGUUUGCUUUAAACUCAUGCUUAGCGAAAGACGAGUUUACUUGACUCAUGCUAAGACAGAGGCGAGUUUACUGAGAACUCGUGCCUAGUAGAAGGAGAGCUUCUGUAAACUCAUGCCUAGCCAAAGUUGAGUUUUUGUAAACUCGUGUCUAACAAUAAGCGAGUCGACCGCAAACUCGUGCCUAAUAAAAAGCAAGUUCAAUUUAAACUCGUGCCUAAAAUACAAGUUUACCGAACUAUUGCCGACCCGAAGUCUCGUGUUGAGAUCGUGUGUGCCGAGCAAGUUGUUGGCUUGUAUGUUCGUCAGGCUGCGAUGACGUUCAUUUGUGAGGUCGGGCUCGGGCUCAUCGGUGUUGAUGGAGCAUAAAGAAGCACAAUGUUUGAUGAGUGCAUCAUUCACAAGAACGAGACGCCGUCGACCCUGUGAAACAAAUGACGAGGUGAUGAGGGGAUGAGGUGGUUGGCUCAUCAUCUCCGCUCUCGCCGGAAUCAAACUGAAUGUAUCAAGACUGAAUCAUGGUCGCCGAGAUCGAGUCACCAAAGAGAUAAUCUUCACAAAUAAAAUUUAAACCCCAUUAAUAAUUAGACCU